AUGGCAGUGGCUGGGGCAGUGUCCAAGGAGCCACUGGUGUAAUGGUGCACCCAGCAGGUAGGGAAAAGUGUUGGCCUGGAUGUCAGCAAGGAGAUCAUGCACAGUGCUUCCAAAAAGAUGAAACUUUACAUGGGCAGAAAUCAAGGGACCAGCUAAAGCUGGGUAGGAGGAAAGGGAGAGAUAGAGAGGAAGUUCCCGUAUUUGCUGAACCUGACACAGCUGCAGAGGUAAAACAUCUUUUGAUUUGCCCAAGGCACGAGAGAACAGCAACUCCUUUAAGAAGAAGACAAAGUUUGUCAAUUUACACACAAGAGAGGGACCCACAGGCCUGCAGUCUGCUCCCCAGUUGCCACCCUUGUGUUUGCCUGGGCCAGAAGCACAAGCUCAUCAAUAGCUGUCUGAUCUGUGGGCCUGUUGUUUGUGAACAAGAGGGCUCCAAUCCUUGCUUAUUCUGUGUGACAACCAUAUGUACUAUGAAGAACAGGAUAUUUUACAGCAUAACUCAAAUGAGAGCCAGAAACUGCUAAAGAAGCUCAUGCCAUUGAUGGAGAAUUCUGGAAAGGUGGACAACUCUGCCAAGGACUUUCUAUGUCAUCGAGAAUUUCAAAUUAUGUCUGGUCUGGAGAAGGAUAUCAAGCACAAAGACAGGCUGUUAGAGUUGGAUAGAGCUAGUUUUCAAAGGACCCAAGUUAUUGAUGAUCAGAUUUUUUGCCAGUGAUUCUAACCAGUGGUUGUCCAAACUUGAGUGGGAAACGAAAUGAGAAGUGAGAAGAAGAGCUGAGAGAACUUCGACAUGCCUCUGUACUCUCUAAGAAGGUCACCAUUGACUUUACAGCAGGAAGAUCCUGGAAGAAGAAAAUCCAUUAGCAGAAUAUCACAGCAGACUAGAUGAGACAAUACAGGCCAUUGCUAAGGAAACCUUGAACUAGACACUGAUCACAUUUGAUAUAUCUCCUGAAGAACCUUUGGAAGUUCUGGUAAAUCUCAGCACAUACGAGUCCCCUCCCCAGUGGGUUGACCACACAGGUGCAGCCUCACAGAAGAAGGCUUUCCAUUCAGCAGGAUUGGGACUAGAAUUCAACUCAUUUCGGUACCUCUUGUGAAUCCAGGAUCAAGACUUUCAGGGAGGUUGGACAGUGGCUCAUGUCUCUCUAUACAUCAGCCCUGGGUUUCUCAGCUUGUUAGAGGGAUUAGAAAAUGAUGGAGUACAGAUCCUGGUACAUCUGCCACAGAGGACAACUUUGGAUAGUAGUCAUAGCCAAAACCUCCCUCUGCCUUCAAAAAGUCUCAGAACUCCGGGCUACAUAUCAUCUUCUUCAUAGAAAAGAUGUGGAAUUCCCCAGUGACUAUCCAUCAGGUUGUUUUUUGGGCUGUCUGGACCUAAUUGCUUGUUUCAGAGGCAAUUUAAGGAGCAGUUUCCAGACAUCAGCUAAGAAUCACGUUCUCCACUUGUUUUCAUCUGCAAAAGUCCUGAGGAAAUGGUUGUGAAGUUUCCUAUUAAAGGAAAUAAAAAAAUCUGGAAACUGGAUUCCAAGAUCCAUUAAGGAGCAAAGAAGAGGUAAAUGAAGCAGAAUAAAGCUUUCUGA
rnacentral:lncRNA from 1 species